rnacentral:rRNA from 1 species
CCUACGGGUGGCAGCAGUGAGGAAUAUUGGUCAAUGGGCGCGAGCCUGAACCAGCCAAGUAGCGUGAAGGAUGACUGCCCUACGGGUUGUAAACUUCUUUUAUAAAGGAAUAAAGUGAGGCACGUGUGCCUUGUUGUAUGUACUUUAUGAAUAAGGAUCGGCUAACUCCGUGCCAGCAGCCGCGGUAAUACGGAGGAUCCGAGCGUUAUCCGGAUUUAUGGGGGUUAAAGGGAGCGUAGAUGGGUUGUUAAGGCAGUUGUGAAAGUUUGCGGCUCAACCGUAAAAUUGCAAUUGAUACUGGCAGUCUUUCUUACAGUUGCGGUAGGCGCAAUUCGUGUUGUAGCUG